UCAUGGCAGUGUGGUGUUCUGUGACUGGCUGUGCUAAUUGCAAACAAGCGCGAAAAUGUGUUAUCUUUCGCCGUUUUACCUACAAGAGAUUUACGCCAAUGCUGCCAGUGGCUUGCAGCUAUCAAGAAUGAUGCUUACAGUGACCAAAGAUUAUCAGAGGGAUUUUCAGGCUGAACUGAUGGGGAAUCCAUUUUGACGACAGAUGAGAAGUGAUGCAAAACCAUCGUUUUUUUCCCUUCACAACAAAACGGAAGAUUCUCGAUUAGAGGUAGUACAGAAUCUGAUUCCACCAGCAUGUGCUUCCAACCCCGAGCUCUGCACAAGGUGAAGGAGAGGCGCAGUACCAGCAAAUCUUCUGCAAGAGGUCCAAACAGUUGGUGGUUGACGUCUACGAACCCUAGACCGCUUCCGGCAGAGUCUUAUCCAGCUGGCCAUACGCGCAGACAGGACAAGAACAUUCGCCACAAGCACAAAGAGUCUCAGCUUCCAUAGCCCACCAUGCUAAACACCAUUGCCAGUGUACUGAAGCCAGAUAAAGGACUGUGGCUGCGUUUACACAGGCAGCUCAAUUCUGAUCUUUUUUUCACUAAUUGGUCUUUUAACCAAUCAGAUUGUAGGCUCUCAUUUAUGUGUUCUCUGUCACCUGGAGCUGCAUGGCAAAUGGUCCAGGAACAAAGGACAAUGCCAAAGGACUAGUCAGCCCUUCCCCCUCUGAGGGGCCAAAAUCUUUCUCUGUUACAGUAUCCAGAGGACUGACUAUUGAAUGAGUGACACAAUAAUGCUAUACUAUCCAUGUCUGGUAUCUAGCUGAAACUUGUUCACUGAGGAUAAUUCUGAUUCUAUAUGUAUGUAGUCCCCUGUAGCUCAGUUGGUAGAGCAUGGCGCUUGCAACACCAGGGUUGUGGGUUCGUUUCCCACGG